rnacentral:lncRNA from 7 species
CAAGGCUCAUGAAUAUGGAACCACAUCAAAUCUCAUUCGUGUAUUGACCAAUGCUAUCAAGAUCUGGUUGGUUCUUGGGUUGCUUAGAGGUUUUGGUGGUCUUUAUCCAACUUUGUUCUCCCAUUCCCACUAACCCCUCUAUCAAGCUAGCACCUUGGAGACCCCACUCAAAGUACCACAAGAAGAUGCAUGAGGUGGUCAUUUGAAUGCUACUUUAACCAUACACUAUCCAUACUAGAAUAUAUGUAAAACUCUUGCUUGUGGUGGGGUUAUAACGUAUUUGUAGACUUUGACACUAACAUUAUUUGUUUAGUCAGAAAAAAAUUGUACCUCUUUAUUGAAGAGGUCUUUGUUAUCGUAUAUGUAACUUCAUUUCAUGGUCUUUGUUAUCAUGUAGGCAAUUUUCUUUGAAGGUCUCUAUUUU